rnacentral:tRNA from 1 species
UUUAUCUUAGCAUAUUAGUGCAAUAAUUUUAGACUUUAUUUAAAUAUAAUUUAGUUUAUAUAGAUAAAA